ACCAUCUCUCUCCUCAACCUUUCUAUAUCUUAUUUUGCAAAUCGCAAACCUUGGUGUCUAAAGCAAGGAUUGAAAGCAUCGAUUGAAGGCAACAACGAGGCGAUUCUCUUAUUCAUCCUAAAUCGUUACCCUCUGAACUAGAUCUUGACCUUCAAACUUCGAAGAUCCAGAAAGAAUUUGAGGGCUAAGGUAUGAGAUCGGAUUCUGAUCGUGUGAAAUGUAAUAGUUUUUGUUCAGAUCUGGUUUUAGUUCUUUGAGUAAAUUGGUUCUCAGGCAUUUUUUUGGAAGAGGCUUUCUAUUCAGGUAUAGAUCUUCAAUGGAAAGAUUGCCGGAUUGCAAAAGAUCAGCAAGAAUUGCUUUUGAAUGUAAUUCUGCAGGUGCUUCGAAGAUGUGGUAUGGUGUAUGUGGGAAAGAUGGUAUUAAAUUGGAGGCGAUGUGAGAAAGCAUUUGCCUUAUCUUUUUGCUGAACAACCUGACUUGCUUCGCAAACUUGUCACCCAACUUUCACCAUUCAUACUAAAAUCAGGAGUUCCGGUUUUUCGUGUUCAGAAUGAAUCCACUGGAGUUCGUUAUGACAUUUCCUCGAGCAUAUCAU